rnacentral:rRNA from 1 species
AUUGAACGCUGGCGGCAGGCCUAACACAUGCAAGUCGAACGAGUGGCGGACGGGUGAGUAAUGUCUGGGAAACUGCCUGAUGGAGGGGGAUAACUACUGGAAACGGUAGCUAAUACCGCAUACCAUCAGAUGUGCCCAGAGGGGAUUAGCUUGUAGGUGGGGUAACGGCUCACCUAGGCGACGAUCCCUAGCUGGUCUGAGAGGAUGACCAGCCACACUGGGACUGAGACACGGCCCAGACUCCUACGGGAGGCAGCAGUGGGGAAUAUUGCACAAUGGGCGCAAGCCUGAUGCAGCCAUGCCGCGUGUAUGAAGAAGGCCUUCGGGUUGUAAAGUACUUUCAGCGGGGAGGCGUUACCCGCAGAAGAAGCACCGGCUAACUCCGUGCCAGCAGCCGCGGUAAUUC